rnacentral:lncRNA from 1 species
CCUACUUACAGCCACCGAGCGUCAGAAGGCCCAUCUCCUGGGGAAUGGAAAAGUGCCCAGCCGCUGGGAGGCCUCAAGCUGGAGAGCUACGGGGGAAGCAGGGCAGGUGUGGGGCUGGGAGAAGCUACUAAGCCCCACACCCCAGGUGCUCUGGGGCCUCGCAGCCCAGCUGCAGGGAGAUGGAACACUGUGAGCAGCUGUUCUUCUUCCUGGCCAUUUGGUUCAUCUACUUCUUUUCUGAUGCCAACCUCUCUUCCACCUACUCAGGGGCUGGAAGGGCGACUGGAGAGCCAAGCCCCUGCGAGUGAGGACAGAGAAUGGCCAAAGGCAGAGCCACAGGGUAGACCUUUGCACCUUGGGAGGAGAGAUUUGGAGAAUGGUGCUGCCUGGGCCCCUUUGCCCCCACCAAACCGCAGGGGUACCAUGGCCCUGACCUGCGUUCAGAGGGCCGAGUCAAUGUCACAGGAAGGGGAAGAGACAUGUGCCCACAGACCCUGUGGUCAUGGAGGGGGUGGAAGAUCUCUGGAGGGCAGCAGGGCCACAGCAAGGCUCUGAGGUCCUGAGUCUUCUCCGUCCGUGGACUUAAACUCUGCGUGUUUACAGCUGUUCUGUGCCUGGGUCCAGGCUCUAGUGAGAAAUAAACUGCCUUCAGAGCCAGGUCAUCGACAGGAAUGACAGCCUGGCAAGCUGCAGUGACUGCACACAGCUACCCUGUGAGCUCCACUUGUGUGGGUGCAGGUGGGCGACAGGAGUGUGUGACACAGACAGGCACUCCACCAGGAGGAAACCCACAGCAGACGUCAACCAUCGCUUUAUUAAGGCUGCGAGUCGGGGGGCUGAGUCAUGCACUCCACAGACACCCCCACUGCUCCCAAGGUCCACUUUUGGAUGACCCUGAAGGCAGAGACUCCUGAGAUCUGGGCCACAAUCUAGGGAGGCACAUUCGGGGCCCAGGAUGCUCCCAGGCUGCUCUGGUAAAUCAGGAAGGAAAACAGGCCAGGGUUAGGAAAGCUGCUCCAUGGUCCAGGCUGCUCUGAGGGGCAGAGCCUUCCCACCGUGCUGCUGCAGCAUCUGGCUUCAUCCCUCCCGAGUCCAUCCCAGUCUGAUCAGGUGGCCAAGGCUGGAGCAAGGCACAGCUCACUCUGACAAGAUAAACUGCAAGAAAUGUGAGAGGCGACAAGAGAAGGAAAAGGCAGGAUGCCCUUAUCUGGAGACCUGGCUUAGACCACACCCAUUCCAUGACGCCACCCCGGAUUGCCCCUUUCCUGUGCUUUCAGAGCCCACCAGCCCUUCUCAGCCUCCAAGGACACAGGACAUCAGCUCAGGGCCUUGAAGGAGCCCUAGUCAGCGUGGUCCUGAGUCACCAAGUCUGUCAAGGCCAACAGGACUGAGACCUCCACAAACUGACGCUGAAGUCUAAGGACCUUUUUCCUUGUUCCACCCCACUGCGCCUCAGAUGUUUCCAGGAGUUUCUGAAGGUCAUGUUAACUAGAAUUUACUCUUAAAACCAAAGACACAGAAAUAAACGUUAAGCAUAGUAUUGACAACAGCAAUUCUGAACCACUUAGAGGCAAUUCACCCUUCAAGAGGUCAAUUUCCCUUUUCUCUGGCUGAUGUGUUCCCCACUAUCUUUUCUGUACUACAUGAGGGGCUCCUGGCAAAUGGCUUCCUGAAGACAUCAAAGAUGAGUACCAAGGGCCAAAGCCUGACAAGCAAGACCCAAGGAGACCUGAGUUGUCAACUGAUGUACCAGACAGGGCUGUUGCUGCAGAAAACUCCAUAAAAGUUCCAAGGGUGCCAGAAUGACUUUCUGAAAUGCCUGCCUAACUCUGCUGUCAGCCACUUUCUUCCAGAGCCCAUAGCACAUCAUCAUUUAGUUCAUCAAAGAACAGCAGGGCAGGUCAGUGGCUCUGUUCCAGUAGCCCAGCUACACAGGCUUCUCUAGAUGGCAGGAACAUAUGUAUGAAUUUCUGUGUGAAUCAGAGCAGAAUUCUCUCACAUUAAAUUUUUAUACACUUGGUUCUUUAUCUGAAACAGAGGACUUCAGAAGUUGGUCUUGAGUACUGUGGAGAAGGAAAGAAAAACAAGGAAGAUACAGAAGCAGCAGAGAAGAACAGUAGGGAGA